rnacentral:rRNA from 1 species
CCGGCACGGGUGAGUAACACGUAUCCAACCUGCCGUCUACUCUUGGCCAGCCUUCUGAAAGGAAGAUUAAUCCAGGAUGGCAUCAUGAGUUCACAUGUCCGCAUGAUUAAAGGUAUUUUCCGGUAGACGGUGGGGAUGCGUUCCAUUAGAUAGUAGGCGGGGUAACGGCCCACCUAGUCAACGAUGGAUAGGGGUUCUGAGAGGAAGGUCCCCCACAUUGGAACUGAGACACGGUCCAA